rnacentral:rRNA from 1 species
UUACAAUGCUGGCAACAGCGAUAAGGGAACCUCGAGUGCCAGGUUACAAAUCUGGCUGUCGAGAUGCCUAAAAAGCAUUUCAUAGCAAGGGCCGGGCAAGACCGGUGCCAGCCGCCGCGGUAACACCGGCGGCUCGAGUGGUAACCGUUAUUAUUGGGUCUAAAGGGUCUGUAGCCGGCCGGAUAAGUCUCUUGAGAAAUCUGGCAGCUUAACUGUCAGGCUUUCAGGAGAUACUGUCUGGCUCGAGGCCGGGAGAGGUGAGAGGUACUUCAGGGGUAGGGGUGAAAUCUUGUAAUCCUUGAAGGACCACCAGUGGCGAAGGCGUCUCACCAGAACGGACCUGACGGCAAGGGACGAAAGCUAGGGGCACGAACCGGAUUAGAUACCCGGGUAGUCCUAGCCGUAAACGAUACUCGCUAGGUGUCGGCCACGGUGCGACCGUUGUCGGUGCCGUAGGGAAGCCGUGAAGCGAG